UGUUACUAAGGAAAAAUAUGUAAUGGGAAAACUAGUGCUAGCUGUUUGUUCUUAUGGAAAUUCAUUCAAGAUUUAAGAGAAGAGAAGGGAGAAGCAAUUAGCCAGUGAAAUGUGACCCUCUUGGAUCCUGGACUGACCCUUGCAGAUAAUCAUCGAGUGAGGACACUGUUAUAAAUGAUACUAGAGAGUGACCAGCAU
rnacentral:lncRNA from 1 species